UUCCACUCAUGAUUUCAAUGAGUCAACAAAUACCACAAUAAUCAAACAAAUAACAAGAACAAGUUAAAAAAAUAAAAUUAAGGUCAUCGUCACUCACUCUCAAGAAAUGUAUCACUGUGUAAUAUCACUGAGUGAUGGUUUUUUCAUAAUGUCCAUUCUAAUAAUAUUUUUCCACUUAGUGACAAACUCUUAAUAUCAAAUGUUGUGAAAUAGAAUUCUUCCUCAUAAGAUGGGUGAAUCUACCAACUAAUUUAUUGAAACAAAACAACAAAAUAAAAAGGAAAAGAAAGAAACAAUCACGAUAGGUUGAGAUGGAGAAGGACGCCAUAGAUAAGGAUGAUUGAUAAAUCAAUGAAAAACCGUCACAAUAAACAAGAUUUAUUGUUAAGAUUCAUUCAAAAUCCAAGAACCAAAGAAUAGAUUACUCACUUUCACUAUUCUCUCUCACUCUCACUAUUCCGUCUAAAGAGAACUAAAAAAAUUGAUGGAUCUACCAAGUGAUUUCUUAAAACAAAACAGCAAAAUAAAAAAGGAAAAGAAAGAAAACAAACAUGAGCUAGACACCAUAAAUAAGGAUGAUUGAUAAAUCAAUGAAAAAUUGUCACAAUAAAAUACUCACUUUCACUAUUCUCUCUCACUCUAUUACAAUUCCAAAAUUAAAGCAAACUAAAAAUUAUUACAAAUUAAAAUAAAAUAAACAAAGUUCAUCCUAAUUGAUUAAGAUAUAAAUCCUUUUAUGUUUUAGGUUUUGCAUACUUGGUUUGGUGGUUCUUUCUAUGACUUCUUUAAGUUGCUUAGCUCCUCUUAAUGAACUCCAUCGGUUGUUGUUUGAUAGCUUGUUUGGUGCUUCCAUGCACAGAAGUGAGUUUAGUUUCUUUGUCGUGUACCUGGGCAUUUGGUCCUUUUUUAACCAAAAAAGUUGAGUUUUGAAUUCUAUUUUCCUUUCAAUAUAUAGAUAGCACUCCAACAAACAAGACGCACAAUGUAAAUCCAUGCACAAUUAAAAGCAGGAAAUCACAUCCUUUCGUGCUCUCAUUCCUUACUAGAUAUAUAACUACAUCCGGUCACAAUUCGUUUUCUAAAUUUUACAUAAAACGCAAUUCAAAAAUAAUUACUUGUAAAAAUACGCAUCAAAUCGAAAUUAUUUAUUUACUUGUAAUAUUCAAUAAGAAUUGAAACCACUUAUACAAGCAGCAUGACUACUCUUAAGUUAUGUAUGAUUUUUAAGAUUCAUUAUUCUAAUCAAGAAUUCAACAAAUUCAUAGUGACAGAUUUCCAUGGAGAUUUUGUUGGGAUUGAUAAAAAAAAAAAAAAAUCUCAACCAUUGUUGUGGUUAUCAUAAAGUAUUUUUAAGAGACUAAAAUUUAUCAUAAGGUAUUUUUAAGAGACUAAAAUCCAGAUCUCUAUAAUCCACAGUAUCAAGUAAUGGGAAAAUCAGACGGGAAAAGUUAAUCAUCCUAAAAACAGAUAUUGAUUCGCGCUCGAGAGAA